rnacentral:rRNA from 1 species
UACGAAGGGGGCUAGCGUUGUUCGGAAUUACUGGGCGUAAAGCGCACGUAGGCGGAUAUUUAAGUCAGGGGUGAAAUCCCGGGGCUCAACCCCGGAACUGCCUUUGAUACUGGGUAUCUGGAGUAUGGAAGAGGUGAGUGGAAUUCCGAGUGUAGAGGUGAAAUUCGUAGAUAUUCGCAAGAACACCAGUGGCGAAGGCGGCUCACUGGCCCGGUACUGACGCUGAGGUGCGAAAGCGUGGGGAGCAAACAGG